rnacentral:rRNA from 1 species
AUUGAACGCUGGCGGCAGGCCUAACACAUGCAAGUCGAGCGGAUGAAGGGAGCUUGCUCCUGGAUUCAGCGGCGGACGGGUGAGUAAUGCCUAGGAAUCUGCCUGGUAGUGGGGGAUAACGUCCGGAAACGGGCGCUAAUACCGCAUACGUCCUGAGGCAGAAAGUGGGGGAUCUUCGGACCUCACGCUAUCAGAUGAGCCUAGGUCGGAUUAGCUAGUUGGUGGGGUAAAGGCCUACCAAGGCGACGAUCCGUAACUGGUCUGAGAGGAUGAUCAGUCACACUGGAACUGAGACACGGUCCAGACUCCUACGGGAGGCAGCAGUGGGGAAUGUUGGACAGUGGGCGAAAGCCUGAUCCAGCCAUGCCGCGUGUGUGAAGAAGAUCUUCGGAUUGUAAAGCACUUUAAGUUGGGAGAAAGGGCAGUAAGUUAAUACCUUGCUGUUGUGACGUUACCAACAGAAGAAGCACCGGCUAACUUCGUG